UGCCCAGACUCCUACGGGAGGCAGCAGUGGGGAAUAUUGCACAAUGGGGGGAACCCUGAUGCAGCGACGCCGCGUGGGUGAAGGAGCACCUCGGUGCGUAAAGCCCUAUCGGCAGGGAAGAAACAGACGGUACCUGACUAAGAAGCCCCGGCUAACUACGUGCCAGCAGCCGCGGUAAUACGUAGGGGGCAAGCGUUAUCCGGAUUCACUGGGUGUAAAGGGAGCGUAGACGGCGACGCAAGUCUGGAGUGAAAGCCCGGGGCCCAACCCCGGGACUGCUCUGGAAACUGCGGCGCUGGAGUACGGGAGGGGCAGGCGGAAUUCCUGGUGUAGCGGUGAAAUGCGUAGAUAUUAGGAGGAACACCAGUGGCGAAGGCGGCCUGCUGGGCUUUUACUGACGCUGAGGCUCGAAAGUGUGGGGAGCAAACAGGAUUAGAUACCCCUGUA
rnacentral:rRNA from 1 species